UACAGAGGUCUCAAGCGUUGUUCGGAUUCAUUGGGCGUAAAGGGCGCGUAGGCGGCGGGGUCAGUCGGGUGUGAAAUCUUGGGGCUUAACCCCGAAACGGCACUCGAAACUGCCCGGCUGGAGGGCCGGAGAGGAGAUCGGAAUUCACGGUGUAGCAGUGAAAUGCGUAGAGAUCGUGAGGAAGACCCGUGGCGAAGGCGGAUCUCUGGACGGCUAACUGACGCUGAGGCGCGAAGGCCAGGGGAGCGAAACGGG
rnacentral:rRNA from 1 species